rnacentral:rRNA from 1 species
UAAUACGUAGGGUGCAAGCGUUGUCCGGAAUUAUUGGGCGUAAAGAGCUCGUAGGCGGCUUGUCACGUCUGCUGUGAAAACUCGGGGCUCAACCCCGAGCCUGCAGUGGAUACGGGCUAGCUAGAGUGCGGUAGGGGAGACUGGAAUUCCUGGUGUAGCGGUGAAAUGCGCAGAUAUCAGGAGGAACACCGGUGGCGAAGGCGGGUCUCUGGACCGAUACUGACGCUGAGGAGCGAAAGCGUGGGGAGCGAACAGGAUUAGAUACCCUGGUAGUCCACGCCGUAAACGUUGGGCGCUAGGUGUGGGGAACUUUCCACGUUCUCCGUGCCGCAGCUAACGCAUUAAGCGCCCCGCCUGGGGAGUACGGCCGCAAGGCUA